CAGCCGCCGCGGUAAUACGUAGGUGGCAAGCGUUGUCCGGAAUUAUUGGGCGUAAAGGGCUCGCAGGCGGUUUCUUAAGUCUGAUGUGAAAGCCCCCGGCUCAACCGGGGAGGGUCAUUGGAAACUGGGAAACUUGAGUGCAGAAGAGGAGAGUGGAAUUCCACGUGUAGCGGUGAAAUGCGUAGAGAUGUGGAGGAACACCAGUGGCGAAGGCGACUCUCUGGUCUGUAACUGACGCUGAGGAGCGAAAGCGUGGGGUGCGAACAGGAUUAGAUACCCGCGUAGUCCCUGUCUCUUAUAC
rnacentral:rRNA from 1 species